GACGAACGCUGGCGGCGUGCUUAACACAUGCAAGUCGAACGGAAAGGCCCCCACCUUGGUGGGGGUGCUCGAGUGGCGAACGGGUGAGUAACACGUGGGUGAUCUGCCCUGUACUUCGGGAUAAGCUUGGGAAACUGGGUCUAAUACCGGAUAGGACCAUGGUUUAGUGUCUCAUGGUGGAAAAAUUAUUGUUUUGGUGCAGGAUGAGCUCGCGGCCUAUCAGCUUGUUGGUGGGGUAAUGGCCUACCAAGGCGUCGACGGGUAGCCGGUCUGAGAGGGUGGACGGCCACAUUGGGACUGAGAUACGGCCCAGACUCCUACGGGAGGCAGCAGUGGGGAAUAUUGCACAAUGGGCGCAAGCCUGAUGCAGCGACGCCGCGUGGGGGAUGACGGCCUUCGGGUUGUAAACUCCUUUCGUUAGGGACGAAGCCACACCUUUUUUGGGUGUGGUGACGGUACCUUUGUUAAGAAGCACCGGCUAACUACGUG
rnacentral:rRNA from 1 species